AGUGAACGCUGGCGGUAGGCCUAACACAUGCAAGUCGAACGGCAGCACAGUAAGAGCUUGCUCUUACGGGUGGCGAGUGGCGGACGGGUGAGGAAUACAUCGGAAUCUACUUUUUCGUGGGGGAUAACGUAGGGAAACUUACGCUAAUACCGCAUACGACCUACGGGUGAAAGCAGGGGAUCUUCGGACCUUGCGCGAUUGAAUGAGCCGAUGUCGGAUUAGCUAGUUGGCGGGGUAAAGGCCCACCAAGGCGACGAUCCGUAGCUGGUCUGAGAGGAUGAUCAGCCAAACAGGAACUGAGACACGGUCCAGACUCCUACGGGAGGCAGCAGUGGGGAAUAUUGGACAAUGGGCGCAAGCCUGAUCCAGCCAUACCGCGUGGGUGAAGAAGGCCUUCGGGUUGUAAAGCCCUUUUGUUGGGAAAGAAAAGCAGCAGGUUAAUACCCCGCUGUUCUGACGGUACCCAAAGAAUAAACACCGGCUAACUUCGU
rnacentral:rRNA from 1 species